rnacentral:rRNA from 1 species
UACGUAGGGUGCGAGCGUUAAUCGGAAUUACUGGGCGUAAAGCGUGCGCAGGCGGUCCGUUAAGACAGAUGUGAAAUCCCCGGGCUUAACCUGGGAACUGCGUUUCUAACUGGCAGGCUUGAGUGUGGCAGAGGGGGGUGGAAUUCCACGUGUAGCAGUGAAAUGCGUAGAGAUGUGGAGGAACACCGAUGGCGAAGGCAGCCCCCUGGGCUAACACUGACGCUCAUGCACGAAAGCGUGGGGAGCAAACAGG